UGUCACAUCUGCUGGGAACCCAGUCUCGCUAAUGUCCCAGCCAUGCUGCGGGCCCCAGCGCUGCUUCUGGUGUUCUUGGUUCUUGUCACUCGGGCAUCUUCCAACAUGGAAGAGGCCAGGAUGUCAAUUACCAGGGCGACGGGGUCCUCUGCUGUAAUCCCUUGUGAUCUUCCUACACAAAACGUCAAAUAUAUCCACUGGUACAAAUUCCAGGAGGGAGCUGUACCCCGACGCCUUCUCUACUAUGAUGUCUACUACUCAAAGGUUGUGUUGGAACCAGGAAUCAGUCCAGGGAAAUAUAAUGUUUAUGAAGCCACAGACAAGACAUAUAAAUUUGUAAACUCAAAUCUACAAGAAAGUGAUUCUGGCGUGUACCACUGUGCUGUCUGGGAGAAGCACAUUGGUUCAGCCUACCUUUACACUGCACUGAAAUUUUGCUUGUUGCUGCUGAAAAACAGCCCUAGUACACAGGAUAGACCAAUCCCUGACUCACUUCCUGCUGCCGAUUCUCUUUACUUUGAACAGCAAAAUCCUUAG